CGAAGAAGCGAACCUGCGAAGGCAAGCGGAUCUCUUAAAGCCGUUCUCAGUUCGGACUGUAGGCUGCAACUCGCCUACACGAAGCUGGAAUCGCUAGUAAUCGCGGAUCAGCACGCCGCGGUGAAUACGUUCCCGGGCCUUGUACACACCGCCCGUCACACCAUGAGAGUCUGUAACACCCAAAGCCGGUGGGAUAACCUUUAUAGGAGUCAGCCGUCUAAGGUAGGACAGAUGAUUAGGGUGAAGUCGUAACAAGGUAGC
rnacentral:rRNA from 1 species